GACGAACGCUGGCGGCGUGCCUAAUACAUGCAAGUAGAACGCUGAAGGAGGAGCUUGCUUCUCUGGAUGAGUUGCGAACGGGUGAGUAACGCGUAGGUAACCUGCCUGGUAGCGGGGGAUAACUAUUGGAAACGAUAGCUAAUACCGCAUAAUAGUAGAUGUCGCAUGACAUUUGCUUAAAAGGUGCAAUUGCAUCACUACCAGAUGGACCUGCGUUGUAUUAGCUAGUUGGUGAGGUAACGGCUCACCAAGGCAACGAUACAUAGCCGACCUGAGAGGGGGAUCGGCCACACUGGGACUGAGACACGGCCCAGACUCCUACGGGAGGCAGCAGUAGGGAAUCUUCGGCAAUAGACGGAAGUCUGACCGAGCAACGCCGCGUGAGUGAAGAAGGUUUUCGGAUCGGAAAGCUCUGUUGUAAGAGUAGAACGAGUGUGAGAGUGGAAAGUUCACACUGUGACGGUAUCUUACCAGAAAGGGACGGCUAACUACGUG
rnacentral:rRNA from 1 species